rnacentral:lncRNA from 1 species
UGCUGGUGAAAAAGCAUCAUCUCAUGAUUUUUGUCUUUCCUUCCUUCCAACUGAAAAUUUAAUCAUGAUACUGAAAAAAGGAAGGCAUGGAGAGAAGGAAGGGAGUUACAAAAGCAAGAACACAUAUCACACACUACAGUGCUGCUAUUUGAAAAGAGUCACAUAGAUUUGUGCAUCAGAUAGCCCUGAAGAUGACAGUGGCCUUGUCCAAAUCAGUGUAUUGCAUUCCUAAACUACAUUUCAGAUAGAAGAAUGACCUGGCUGACAUCAAUGUCCUGCAAAAGGUGCCAGAUAGCUGACCCUAGCCAGAGCUGAACUGGAGAUGCUGACUGAGAACCUGACGGAAGACUUGGCCUAUCUGAAGUAGAAUCAAUCAUGAGGAGGCCAAAAUUUAAUUUUUUUCCUCCCAGACCUCAAAAUUAAAACAUCAGGUUUGCAAAUCUGGAGAUAAAACACGACCUGUGUAAGUGGCCAUUUGUUUUGGAUGUGCCCGUGCAUGUAUAUUGCUGCUACUGCUGUUUUUAAUGGUUCUUACUAAGGUUUAAUUAAUCAGAGACACAUUCUGAUUUUGUCAUUUUCAUUAUAGGUAAUAAAUUAGGUAAUAACAAUUUUAACUCUCUUGAUUUAGUGAUUUUGAAUAUAUAUAUAUAUAUAUAUAUAUAUAUAUAUAUAUAUAUAAUUUCAAAAGUUAGAAAAUAAAGAAGUCUACCAAUAACAUAAAAUGCUAUCCGUGCCACACAUGGCACUCUGAUGGACCACAGUGUAUACCAGUGACUGGUGUAGAGAAUAGACACUGGCAGUAAGUUUUUACACAAUUUUCAGUGAUUCUACCAAUUCUGCAGGAUUAGACACUUCUUGCAGCUCUUGACUUAACAGCUGUAGAUGAAAUCUCUCUAGCAACUUGCAUACCAAGCUUCCCUUUCCUGUACAGACAGGACAGUGGAUUCUCUAGAAGGAGGGUUAACCAAUCCUUCUGGCCCUUAGACACAGCAUAUAGAGUCCAUGGUCACUUAAAUAUCCUGUGAAAAUAUCUUUAGUAGUUAUUUUGUUGUUGUUGUUGUUGUUUGAUUUAGUGUGCCCAAGAACAUUUACUUUUAUUUGUUUUAAUUAGUUAUAUGUGAAAGUGGAAUUCAUCUUGACACAUCAUACAUAAAUGAAGUACAAAUUCUCAUUCUUCUGGUUGCACAUGAUAUAGAGUUAUUCUGGUCAUGUAAUUAUAUUGUAAUGGGCCAGGCUAUAUGGAUAAUAACCAAUCAGACUCCAUUUUGCCCUGAGACUCCACAUCAUGUAAGAAAUGCUUCUCCCAGGGAAAUCUCCACCUCUACCCAUCAACAGUUGCUUAGCAUAGCAUGUUUGGCAACACAAAAUGUCAAUUCUUAUACAAUGUAAAAGUGUUUUCUUUGUGGUUCCCAUUUUUCUUGGACAGUGUGUUCUGUCAAAGAUUGAUUAUCUAGAUAUUAGUAACCAUUCUUUACCAUGUACAUGACAUUUUUGUCCAUGCUGGGUGAACAAACAACAACAAGAAGUAGUAAUAUUGUCUUUAAAGUUACCAAUGCAGUUUCAUUUCUAGGUCAUCAAACAGUUGUUGAAAAAAUGUGAAUGUCUAUAAAAUGUCUACUAUCCAUUGUUUCUAGGAUUUUUCCUCAAUUGAAAAAAAAAACUGAUACUGUUCAGUGCACUUCUCUGAUAUCUUUGAUUUUAAAAAUAAGUAAAUUUUAUUUAACAUAUAUAGAAUUAAUUUUAAAUAAGUUUGUUAGAGACAUCUAAUUGGCUUACAAAGUUAAAAUGUUAACUGCUAAAUAUAACAUCAAGUACUCUUGACUCCUAAAUUUUAUAGGGAAACAUACUUAAACAUUAAAUGUGUUUUCCUAAAUUGAUAAAUAAAAGAAUUUAAAAUUA